rnacentral:lncRNA from 1 species
CACAGAACUCUUUACACUCAAAAUAUACACACAGAUAUUACUCUCCUCUCUCCCUUUGUCUGCAUAUCAAUUUACACACACACAAAACACAACACUGAGAUUUUUUUUACUCUCAUCUUCCCCAUAAUCUAUACUAUAACAAAUACCCACACAAAAUCAAACACCCACCCCCGCAUCCCUCGGUUCCCUCUUUCCAGGCGACACCCACCUUCUCCUCUUGACAACAAAACGGACCACCACCACCGUCCGGUGGUGGUGAGCGACAGCUGCAGAAACGGAGCGGGAGAGAGAGAGGCAAUGAAAGAGACAGAAGCGAGAGAGACGACGAGAUUGAUAGAUCGAGAGGAGAAAGAGAGUGACGGCGGAGAAGAAGCGGCGCCGCCGCUCAUGGCGGCGGCGGCAGUGGCGGUGGUUCGGGUCUCGGUCUGACGAAUUUCCGGCCAAAUUUGGGAAGACUUGCGAGUCUCGGCUCACCCACAGGUUGGUUCGGAUCGGACCUGGUCAAGUCUUGGAUGGUCAACAACAGUCAAAGUUUGGUCAACCGCUCGGGUCAACAGUGGGCAAGUUUGUUUUGGGUCAAGCAUGGAUCGGACGAGUCAGAUUCGCUCGUUUAACUCAGCGAGUCGACUCGGUCAAACCCGAGUCAACUCGGUCAGCACAGUCAAACCGAGUCAACUCAGUUGACCCGGUCAACUCAGUCUGCGGUUCGACGCGAGAGAUUUGGAAUAUUGUAGAAUGCACGCUAGCGAGUCUCGUCUUGGAAACGACAUCACGAAGUCGUAUAUAGCUUGCUUUGCACAUGAAUAUUCAGGAAUAUUGUAGAAUGUACGCUAGCGAGUCUCGUCUUGGAAACGACAUCAGGAAGUCGUAUAUAGCUAGCUUUGCACAGGAAUAUUCAGGAUUAAAUGAGCUCAAAUAAACAAAAGAAGCAAAAAGGCAUCUAAAUCUAACAUAAAUACAAGAAAAGGAGCAAAACGUGGCAAAACAAGAAGACAGAAGACUGAACACGCCCCGUGCUCAGUGAGCACGGGGGUGUGCCCAAGUGUCAGCAGAAAAGACAGUUGUAGAAGCUUCCAUCGCCCACCACGGGGCCGUGCUUAGCGGACACGAGCCGUGGUCAACUAUAAGAUUCGCGGAAUCCAGGCAAAUCUUGAUUGUACAGAUAUGCUUCUGCACACGGGGUCGUGCUCAGUGGACACGGGGGCGUGGUCAACUAAUGCAGACAAACUGCAUUUAAUGAAGAAAGAGAGGAGGAUGGACACGGGGCUGUGCCCAAUGGACACGGGGCCGUGCCCGAGCUUCUGUUCAGCCUAUAAAUAGGACUGCUUGGAGCUCUUGCAACUCAUCCCUUGGCACACCACCUCUCUCACACUUCACCCACCACCAUCACAACACCAUCAUCCAUUGUCCAUCAUAGAGUGUGUGAGUCGUCUCGGGAUCCAAGAUUGAUCGUAAGAGUUCUUGACAAUCAAAGGCCAUGUUUGCCUAAGUCUCUUACAUCACUUGGUGAAGACAAAUGUUUAGUGUAAUACUUUUUAUUUUUAAUCUUUUGCACUUUUUAAUUGGUUUUGUAUUAAUGACUUUAAUUACUUGUUUCUUAUGUUGAAGGUGAUUGU